GGCCCAUAGCUUAGAGGUAGAGCUCCUGCCUUGCAUGCAGAUGGCCUCAGGUUCAAAUCUCAGCAUCUCCA